GUGCGGAUUCCGUGCGUCGGCGCGCCGCGAACUAGGUCAGGCGGGGAACCGAGCAGCCUUAAGCGGAGUGUGCCGGGCGACACGAUCGGUCUGUGCGCC
rnacentral:SRP_RNA from 1 species